rnacentral:rRNA from 1 species
UACGUAGGGUGCGAGCGUUAAUCGGAAUUACUGGGGCGUAAAGCGUGCGCAGGCGGUUUUGCAAGCCGGAUGUGAAAUCCCCGGGCUUAACCUGGGAAUGGCAUUUGGGACUGCAAGGCUGGAGUGCGGCAGAGGAGACUGGAAUUCCUGGUGUAGCAGUGAAAUGCGUAGAUAUCAGGAGGAACACCGAUGGCGAAGGCAGGUCACUGGGCCGCAACUGACGCUGAGGAGCGAAAGCAUGGGGAGCGAACAGG